GUAUAAUGGGUCAGCGACUUAUAUUCUGUAGCAAGGUUAACCGAAUAGGGGAGCCGAAGGGAAACCGAGUCUUAACCGGGCGUUAAGUUGCAGGGUAUAGACCCGAAACCCGGUGAUCUAGCCAUGGGCAGGUUGAAGGUUGGGUAACACUAACUGGAGGACCGAACCGACUAAUGUUGAAAAAUUAGCGGAUGACUUGUGGCUGGGGGUGAAAGGCCAAUCAAACCGGGAGAUAGCUGGUUCUCCCCGAAAGCUAUUUAGGUAGCGCCUCGUGAAUUCAUCUCCGGGGGUAGAGCACUGUUUCGGCAAGGGGGUCAUCCCGACUUACCAACCCGAUGCAAACUGCGAAUACCGGAGAAUGUUAUCACGGGAGACACACGGCGGGUGCUAACGUCCGUCGUGAAGAGGGAAACAACCCAGACCGCCAGCUAAGGUCCCAAAGUCAUGGUUAAGUGGGAAACGAUGUGGGAAGGCCCAGACAGCCAGGAUGUUGGCUUAGAAGCAGCCAUCAUUUAAAGAAAGCGUAAUAGCUCACUGGUCGAGUCGGCCUGCGCGGAAGAUGUAACGGGGCUAAACCAUGCACCGAAGCUGCGGCAGCGACACUGUGUGUUGUUGGGUAGGGGAGCGUUCUGUAAGCCUGUGAAGGUGUGCUGUGAGGCAUGCUGGAGGUAUCAGAAGUGCGAAUGCUGACAUAAGUAACGAUAAAGCGGGUGAAAAGCCCGCUCGCCGGAAGACCAAGGGUUCCUGUCCAACGUUAAUCGGGGCAGGGUGAGUCGACCCCUAAGGCGAGGCCGAAAGGCGUAGUCGAUGGGAAACAGGUUAAUAUUCCUGUACUUGGUGUUACUGCGAAGGGGGGACGGAGAAGGCUAUGUUGGCCGGGCGACGGUUGUCCCGGUUUAAGCGUGUAGGCUGGUUUUCCAGGCAAAUCCGGAAAAUCAAGGCUGAGGCGUGAUGACGAGGCACUACGGUGCUGAAGCAACAAAUGCCCUGCUUCCAGGAAAAGCCUCUAAGCAUCAGGUAACAUCAAAUCGUACCCCAAACCGACACAGGUGGUCAGGUAGAGAAUACCAAGGCGCUUGAGAGAACUCGGGUGAAGGAACUAGGCAAAAUGGUGCCGUAACUUCGGGAGAAGGCACGCUGAUAUGUAGGUGAAGUCCCUCGCGGAUGGAGCUGAAAUCAGUCGAAGAUACCAGCUGGCUGCAACUGUUUAUUAAAAACACAGCACUGUGCAAACACGAAAGUGGACGUAUACGGUGUGACGCCUGCCCGGUGCCGGAAGGUUAAUUGAUGGGGUCAGCGCAAGCGAAGCUCUUGAUCGAAGCCCCGGUAAACGGCGGCCGUAACUAUAACGGUCCUAAGGUAGCGAAAUUCCUUGUCGGGUAAGUUCCGACCUGCACGAAUGGCGUAAUGAUGGCCAGGCUGUCUCCACCCGAGACUCAGUGAAAUUGAACUCGCUGUGAAGAUGCAGUGUACCCGCGGCAAGACGGAAAGACCCCGUGAACCUUUACUAUAGCUUGACACUGAACAUUGAGCCUUGAUGUGUAGGAUAGGUGGGAGGCUUUGAAGUGUGGACGCCAGUCUGCAUGGAGCCGACCUUGAAAUACCACCCUUUAAUGUUUGAUGUUCUAACGUGGACCCGUGAUCCGGGUUGCGGACAGUGUCUGGUGGGUAGUUUGACUGGGGCGGUCUCCUCCUAAAGAGUAACGGAGGAGCACGAAGGUUGGCUAAUCCUGGUCGGACAUCAGGAGGUUAGUGCAAUGGCAUAAGCCAGCUUGACUGCGAGCGUGACGGCGCGAGCAGGUGCGAAAGCAGGUCAUAGUGAUCCGGUGGUUCUGAAUGGAAGGGCCAUCGCUCAACGGAUAAAAGGUACUCCGGGGAUAACAGGCUGAUACCGCCCAAGAGUUCAUAUCGACGGCGGUGUUUGGCACCUCGAUGUCGGCUCAUCACAUCCUGGGGCUGAAGUAGGUCCCAAGGGUAUGGCUGUUCGCCAUUUAAAGUGGUACGCGAGCUGGGUUUAGAACGUCGUGAGACAGUUCGGUCCCUAUCUGCCGUGGGCGCUGGAGAACUGAGGGGGGCUGCUCCUAGUACGAGAGGACCGGAGUGGACGCAUCACUGGUGUUCGGGUUGUCAUGCCAAUGGCACUGCCCGGUAGCUAAAUGCGGAAGAGAUAAGUGCUGAAAGCAUCUAAGCACGAAACUUGCCCCGAGAUGAGUUCUCCCUGACCCUUUAAGGGUCCUGAAGGAACGUUGAAGACGACGACGUUGAUAGGCCGGGUGUGUAAGCGCAGCGAUGCGUUGAGCUAACCGGUACUAAUGAACCGUGAGGCUUAACCUUACAACGCCGAAGGUGUUU
rnacentral:rRNA from 1 species